AGGCCAUUCGACUCAUUUGUUCGUGGCAGAAGAGAGCAGCAGUGUGACCGUCAUAUGAUCGCAAUAUGAUAGUUCGUUAUACAUUUUCGCGCAAAUCACCGGUGUCGCGCGGUGCAAAAUUAUCGUUCCGGUGGAAUCCCCGGCGCGGUCCAUCAUUGCGGAAGUUACGGUCGCGUUCGCGAGAUAUUUGUGUACUCUGAGAAUAUAAUUUAACACAAAUUCAAAUUUCUAUAUUCAGGAUUAAAUGGCUACGAAUUAAGUGCGGUGGUAAAACGUUUGGGAUUCGUGAAAGUGGCUAGCUUUAAAUGUGCUGGGUCAGCUUUCGAUUCCAGGUUGAAAAGAGCAAGGAAUCCGUCAAGGAUAUUAUUUCCAUUAAAAAAAUAUUAAUAAAUUAAAAGGCUAAUCAUUAUUUAGUCAAGUAAUAUUACUAUAUAAUUAUAUUUGAUAAUAAUUAUAUUCGAUAUUCGAUACAAACGUUUUAAAUUUAUCGUUUAGUAAACUACAAAAUUUAUUGCCAUAGGCCACCCAUCUAUAAAAUAAUCAGCUGAUGACAGCUGAUAUUGGCAAAACACAAAAUGUUUUCUCUGAAUUGUGAAAUUGGUAACAUAUAUGGAUUAGCAAUCGUUUUAGCUGUUGUUCAAAAAUAUAAAAUGUUGAAAAUCUGUUGGUGGCGUUGGAAAGAAAGAAAAACAACAUAAAUUAAUUCGACGAGAAAGAGUUUGUUGCAGUGUGAAAUUUGGUGUUAAAAUGCAUCUGUCAUCGAGCACCAUUAAUCCGUACUUCAGGUGGAGCGUCAAAAUAGUAGUUUGACGCAUUGCUUUUGUCUUACAUCGAUAUGCACGAAAAUCAGUUUAAAUCGGCAAUAUCGUCAGAUCGUGCAUCACAGCAGACAUUACAGGAGGAGUACCACAAGUCCAGCGUGAGAUACAGCAAGUUUUAAGGCUUUGCUGUCUGGUCACUGACAAAUCUAAAAAACACCAAGCAGAAUGUUUUUUGCCUCUUCGCUUAUGUAAACUGUUUCUCGAUCCAACACACGAUUUAAAGAGAAAAGAGAUUUUAAAGAGAAGGUCUUUGGUCAAGCGCUCAUAGAAAAAGUGUAGAUGAGCGGAACCAAAAAAGUGUCUGCAAUUGGACAAAUUUUGCAAACUGAAGAUAGAUGAUGAAGGGGGAUAAUAAUGAAGAUUAUACCCGUUAGAAAUUGACUGAAUUUUGACCUAAUAAUAUCUGAAAAAUCGGUUACAAACAUUAAGCUUGUGUACAUAUGUA